rnacentral:rRNA from 1 species
UACGUAGGGUGCAAGCGUUAAUCGGAAUUACUGGGCGUAAAGCGUGCGCAGGCGGUUUUAUAAGUUUGUCGUGAAAGCCCCGGGCUCAACCUGGGAAUGGCGAUGAAGACUGUAAGGCUAGAGUGUGUCAGAGGGGGGUAGAAUUCCACGUGUAGCAGUGAAAUGCGUAGAUAUGUGGAGGAACACCGAUGGCGAAGGCAGCCCCCUGGGAUAACACUGACGCCCAUGCACGAAAGCGUGGGGAGCAAACAGG